rnacentral:rRNA from 1 species
GACAGAGGGGGCAAGCGUUGCUCGGAAUCACUGGGCGUAAAGGGCGCGUAGGCGGGAUGGCAAGUCGGUCGUGAAAUCCUUCGGCUCAACCGAAGAACGUCGGCCGAUACUGCCGUUCUUGAGGGAUGCAGAGGAGAUUGGAAUUCCCGGUGUAGCGGUGAAAUGUGUAGAUAUCGUAAGGAAGACCAGUGGCGAAGGCGGGUCUCUGGACAGUUCCUGACGCUGAGGCACGAAGGCUAGGGGAGCAAACGGG